CAGUCGCCGCGGGAAUACAGAGGGUGCGAGCGUUAAUCGGAAUUACUGGGCGUAAAGCGCGCGUAGGUGGUUUGUUAAGUUGGAUGUGAAAUCCCCGGGCUCAACCUGGGAACUGCAUCCAAAACUGGCAAGCUAGAGUAUGGUAGAGGGUGGUGGAAUUUCCUGUGUAGCGGUGAAAUGCGUAGAUAUAGGAAGGAACACCAGUGGCGAAGGCGACCACCUGGACUGAUACUGACACUGAGGUGCGAAAGCGUGGGGAGCAAACAGGAUUAGAUACCCGGGUAGUCCCUGUCUCUUAUAC
rnacentral:rRNA from 1 species